GUUGAAUUGGCUGAGUGGUCUAAAGCGCUGGAUUAAGGAUCCAGUCCGAUAAGGGCGCGAGUUGAAACCUCGCCGUCAACA
rnacentral:tRNA from 1 species